UACGUAGGGGGCUAGCGUUGUCCGGAUUUAUUGGGCGUAAAGAGCGUGUAGGCGGCCAGGUAGGUCCGGUGUGAAAACUCGAGGCUUAACCUCGAGAUGUCAUCGGAAACCAUCUGGCUAGAGUCCGGAAGAGGAAAGUGGGAAUUCCUGGUGUAGCGGUGAAAUGCGCAGAUAUCAGGAGGAACACCAAUGGCGAAGGCAGCUCGCUGGGACGUUACUGACGCUGAGACGCGAAAGCGUGGGGAGCAAACAGG
rnacentral:rRNA from 1 species